CAGCGAUGUCUUUGAUGAUGUUCCAGACAUUUGCACCUGCAUCCAUAACAUGGAUUCGUUCAUCAAGGUUGCUCAGCUUCAUGAUUGCUGUUAGUUACAAUUGGUGGACGAUAUUUGGGAGAAACUGUGGUCGACUGGACCUUGAUUUUCAGAAAAACUGGUUGGAAUAAGCAAACUGAAAAGGAAGAAGAAUUUUAGCCAAGGUGGCAGUGCUGUAGUGAUUGAGACUAUGGUCUAUGCAGUGGGAUUACCGAACGGAGGAGAGGCGACCGGAGUCGCGUAUUUCCUUAACAACACUUCUGAUUAAUGCUGGUCGUGGAAAACCUACCAGCCAACGGCCAUCUCACAGAAAGAGAUAACGCUGGACUCAUCUGCGUCGCUGAUAUUUAAUUAUUGUACGUUGUGAUAGGAAAAAUAAGUAUAUUAUUGUAAGUGGAUGACACAACGUGAAACUGUAAAUCUAUAAGAAU